rnacentral:rRNA from 1 species
GACGAACGCUGGCGGCGUGCUUAACACAUGCAAGUCGAACGGUAAGGCUCCAGCUUGCUGGGGUACACGAGUGGCGAACGGGUGAGUAACACGUGGGUGACCUGCCCUGCACUUCGGGAUAAGCCUGGGAAACUGGGUCUAAUACCGGAUAGGACCAUGGUGUGGAUACUGUGGUGGAAAGUUUUUUCGGUGUGGGAUGGGCCCGCGGCCUAUCAGCUUGUUGGUGGGGUAAUGGCCUACCAAGGCGGCGACGGGUAGCCGGCCUGAGAGGGUGGACGGCCACAUUGGGACUGAGACACGGCCCAGACUCCUACGGGAGGCAGCAGUGGGGAAUAUUGCACAAUGGGCGGAAGCCUGAUGCAGCGACGCCGCGUGGGGGAUGACGGCCUUCGGGUUGUAAACUCCCUUCACCAUCGACGAAGGGUUUCUGACGGUAGAUGGAGAAGAAGCACCGGCUAACUACGUG